UACGUAGGGCGCAAGCGUUGUCCGGAAUCAUUGGGCGUAAAGAGCGUGUAGGCGGCCCGGUAAGUCCGCUGUAAAAGUCAAAGGCUCAACCUUUGAAUGUCAGUGGAUACUGCCGGGCUAGAGUCCGGAAGAGGCGAGUGGAACUCCUGGUGUAGCGGUGGAAUGCGCAGAUAUCAGGAAGAACACCAACGGCGAAGGCAGCUCGCUGGGACGGUACUGACGCUGAGGCGCGAAAGCGUGGGGAGCAAACAGG
rnacentral:rRNA from 1 species